rnacentral:snoRNA from 1 species
UGCCAUGAUGUCGUAAUUUGCGUCUUACUUUGUACUCGGUGACAGUUGCCUGCUGUUACUAUACCGGUACAGAAGUCUGAUGAACAGCUAAUACUGAGCA